rnacentral:rRNA from 1 species
UACAGAGGUGGCAAGCGUUGUUCGGAAUUACUGGGCGUAAAGGGCGCGUAGGCGGCCUUCUAAGUCAGACGUGAAAUCCCCCGGCUUAACCUGGGAACUGCGUCUGAUACUGGAGGGCUUGAGUGCGGGAGAGGGAUGUGGAAUUCCACGUGUAGCAGUGAAAUGCGUAGAGAUGUGGAGGAACACCGAUGGCGAAGGCAGCCCCCUGGGUCAAGAUUGACGCUCAUGCACGAAAGCGUGGGGAGCAAACAGG